GCAUCGAGAAGUACUAUUAUAUGCACGAUUUCUUUUUCAAGGAUGGAGUUAAAAAGAAACUGGAGAAAAUAAAGAAGAAUCAUCUUUAUAUUUAUGCAACAAGAAAGAAAAAUGAAGCUACUCAUCUCAAAGCAUACUGGAGUCAAAGGUCAGUUUGUUUUGUAAUAUGUCAUACAAAAUACAGAUUGCGUUCAUUAGCCUGCGUAGUCGAAACUUAGUCUACCUUGUGAUCUCUCACCUCCAACACCUUCCCCACCAUAAUAUUGAGUUAUCUUAGAUGAACAGUCGCAUAUUGAAAAGUUUAUUUAAAAUAUAUAGGUUAAAUAUGUAUGUUUAUAAUAUGUAAAGCAUCCAUAAGUUAUUAGUUUGGACAGACUGAGCUCCCUGUUGGGAAGGGGGAGGGGCGGAAACAAACUCUGGCUCCUCACAGUCGAAGCAUAUAAUAUGUGUUUGUAUUAACGUUGUAGUAUUAACCUUUAAAAUGUGUAAUGUGUACAUUUUUUAUUUGGCACUGAAUUAUCAAUUUAUUCACAGGAAUAAAACUAUACCUAAACAAAACCAUGUCAAUGAAGAAUUGGAAAACCAGAGCCUAUCAAGAAUUCACUGCAGCCAUCAAGAACUGAUUGAAAACGAAAUAACUUCCGGAGUGCAUGAAGUAGUGUACUAUGAAGAAAGCUAUCCGGCAAAGAAAAAAUUUAAACUUGAUAGCUGCAGUUAUCAAGUUCCGGAAGGUAGAGACUCACGAUGACACCUUGGCAGCCAGGGAGUAAAAACGGCACAAGAAAUUUCUUCAAGAGAAAAUGACACAUCAGAUGAAGAGAAUAACUACUCUGUAACCAAUGUCCUGCACAAUGAAGAUGGGCAGUGUAUCUCUACAGCCAUGUCUUACACAGAAAUGCAACCGCCUCUGAAACUAUUUGAGAUGGAAGCAGGAUGUUCUUUCUGGUCAACCACCGAAGGAGCC